AAAAAUUUUUUUACUAAAGAAAUGUAUACAGUAUUUCAGCAAGGGAGUAAAAAUUAAUCUCUUGAAUCAAACCUCAUAAAAAGAUAUGAACGGCUAUUUGUAUGCAGGAUGGAUUUUUGCCACCUCUUCAAGGUUAUUGAUCUCUUUCUUGUGUUGAAAAGUGUCUUGCUCUGAAGCAAAGUGGAGCUUUUAAGCCUGAGUAACUUGUCUACACACCUGAGCUGAUGUAUAUGUUAAAACAGAUAUUUUUUUUGCCCUGAAAGUGCACAUUGCAUGUUUAAUAUUAGGAAAAAGAUAAUCCAUGUAAUAGCACAACCAAGGUAUGAUUCACUUAUGCUAAUUGGUUGCUCUGACAUCAAGGCUUCAGUGCAAAAAAAUCUUUGCCUCUGGCAAUGGAAGUUCACAGUGCCAAAUCCUUCCACCCUGGGUCAUGAAACUGUGUUCUCUUUUUAUCACAGAAAUCACAGUGAUAGAAAGGAAACCCAGAGCUAUCGAUUUGAAUGCCAGGCUAUACAAAACCAGCCUGCAAGUGAAUGAAAAUGACUUAACAAAAUAUAGUCAGAUGCUGUUUCAUUCUUCAUGUCCUCAUUUAUCUCCUGAUCCCUUUUUAGAAGGCUUUAAUGCAAGGGAUCAGUGGGAAUCCCAGUAACAUUGCUUAUGGCAGAAAGUGACACUUAUUUAGCAAUUUUAGCAAACUAACAAGUCAAGGUGCCUGGGUCUUAAUGUACAUAUCUUUGUGCAAAUUACUUUUACAGCAGAAAGCUUCAUAAAUACAUAGAGUUCGACAUUCUAAUAGCUGUGUUGGUUUUGUGUUGACAAGAAUGAACCUAACCUCCCCAAGGCUUGCACACUCCCCUCUUCUUUGGGGUGUGUGUGUGUGUGUGCGCGUGUGCAAGAGAUAGGAAGCGUCCAUUUCAAUUUCAGAUUAACCACAGUUCAGUGUAUUGUCCGAACCCUAAACUGUGGUUAAUCUUUCCUGUGAUUAGAGAAAAAUGCCAGCUGCUUAACUAUGUUUUGAAGUUAGAUUGUUCCACAUAAUUUUAAGUUUUUCCAGAUUUCAGAUAACAUGGCAAGUUGCAGUUAAUAAAAAAAGGAAGCAAAAGUUUACAAAUGUCUUCUCACAGUUGUACCAGAGAAAUGUUUUUAUUAGGUGACAAAUAAAAGUUAAAACAAGCGUGAUAGCAACAGCCAACUUCAUAAUAAUGGUGGGUUGAACUGUCCUGAGCCCACCUUUUCAACUAAGAAUCCAGUGAAGAGCUCUGCAAGGGCGGAAAGAAGCCUUCCACGCUGCCUGACAAACUGCUUUCGAAACAGGUGCUUCAGAACCAGACUGUGCUGUGCAGAGAGCCCAGUU